ACUCGGAGAGCCCAAGUUCUCUGGGACUUUCUAGAAAUCACGUCAAAAGGAGAAGUGGGGUGUUGUUUUUCACGUCCUUUUUUUCUUGCACGCGUGAAAGGAGAGGGGGCGCCAAUAGUUGGCGCUCCAUCUUAUUUGAAACUCUUUUUCAUCUAGAUUUUUUUUUAUUUGAAUUUGAUUCAAAAUAGAAUAAAAAUCUCUCUAAUUGGGGCAUGGAAGCAUUUUUUUGUGCGACAAAAAAAUUGGAGAAAGGAGGACAUGCGCUAAUUGUUGGUGUGAGACAUCUCUCUUUCUUUCUUUCCUUAUCUCAACGCAUCUCAUCCAUUCUUUUUGUUUUGGACACCUAAGAUCAAAUGGAUUUGAUCUAUUAAGGCGUUAAGAAGGGUUUGGGGCAUGAG
rnacentral:lncRNA from 1 species